ensembl:lncRNA
AUUUGCUGAAACUCAGGAACUGUGUGCCUAAAAUUUUGUUUUAUGUUGCUUCUGUCUCACAGGUUGGUUGUACAACUGGAGAACAGCUUCCAAAUUAAAAACAAAAAAUAUUCAGAGUAAUGCCCUCGAGACUGACAGCUUUGAAAGGAGGGAAGAGUAUUGGCAGGGAAGAUGCCUCUGCGUCCGAAGAGGCAACAGCUGAAAUGGACCUUAAAAAAUGGCUAGAAGUUCACCAGAUGGAGGAGGAAGGAGGAGCAUUCCAGGAACGGUGUGCCGGAGAGCCAAGCAGCACAGUAGAGCCUGGCCUGCUCCCAGGACAGCAGUGAAGCUCAGGGUGGUCCCAGCCAGAGGUGGGUGGCAGCGGUGAGAAGAGAAGGUGGAGGUAGGGGUCGCGGGGGACAAAGUAAGGAUGUGGAAGAGCUUAUGUCCCCUGCCGAGGAGUGUGGAACUUACCCUUGGGCUUCGGGGCAAGGAAGAGCAGAAAGGGUUACGCAGGAAGCUGUGAUUAUGAGCCCUCAGAAAAUUCUUGUACUGAAAUGGGGAGUCUCUUGACCUCACGUACGCACACUGUUGAUAAUAAGGCUGUCACAUAUGGCGGAGGGUCGAGAGGGCUGGCAAGGCAAAUGCUAAAAAGACAGGGCCUCGUGAGCUUCGUGGCUGCUGAGUAAAAAAUGGUCAAGGGAAGGGUUGUAACUAUGGUUUAAAAUCAUAAAUACGGGAUGACCCACAGCUCUGAGAACAGAGAUGGUCAGCGAUUUGGUGGAAAGGGGAGUAGCCGAGAAGGUUGGCUGAUUCUCCGGAGGCGAUCCUACGAAAAAAUAUAAAACCAUUAAUGAAGGAAUUGGGAGAGAAUCCCUUGAUGGUGCCUCUGGACUUCUUGCGUCUCGCCUGCAUCGGCCACUCCUCCCGUGCCACACCCAUGGGAUUUGUUCUCUGAAUUUAUUCUAUUCUGGUAGUAAAGCACACAGGCUACCCCAUGUGGGGUAAUGUGUGCAGUGUUACAGAUACCCAAACGAAUAAGCUAUAGCUCAUGCCCUUAUUGAGGCUACAAGCCAAACACAAACCAUCUACAACUAGUUAUACUAAUGUUUGGAAAGUGCUAGAACAGAGUGACGUACACUCUGGAAUCAACAAGAGGGGGCGAUCGGUACUGUCCGAAGUAGGGGUGUCAAAAACAGGGUAGCGUUUGAGCUAGAGGUUGACAGGUGAGGUUGGAAGUUGGACAAGCUCAAGAUGGAGGUGGGCGGCACGCGAGCAGAGAGGGCGGCACGGGCACGGGCCCAAAGGUGAGGCUGCCACGGUAGGCUGGCGCCAGGUAGGGACAGG